rnacentral:lncRNA from 1 species
AUUGCCGAUCUAUUUUAAUGAUUAUAUCAGAGUGCAUACAACAUAGAAUUCAAUCUUUUCUGCAUUAUUCUAAUAGAAUUCUAUGAAAAAAAGAGUCUAUAUCAGAUUUUUCUAACAUAUGCCCAAAGGCAAAGGAUAAGGAGCGUUUACUACCCACCUAAGUGGGCUUUAUCCAAAUAACAAUGCGAUAAUUAAUAAACACAACUACCACUUUUAUCUCUCU